rnacentral:rRNA from 1 species
CCUACGGGAGGCAGCAGUGGGGAAUAUUGGGCAAUGGGCGCAAGCCUGACCCAGCAACGCCGCGUGAAUGAAGAAGGCUUUCGGGUUGUAAACUUCUUUUCUCAGGGACGAAGCAAGUGACGGUACCUGAGGAAUAAGCCACGGCUAACUACGUGCCAGCAGCCGCGGUAAUACGUAGGGGGCAAGCGUUAUCCGGAUUUACUGGGUGUAAAGGGCGUGUAGGCGGGAAAGCAAGUCAGAUGUGAAAACCAUGGGCUCAACCUGUGGACUGCAUUUGAAACUGGUUUUCUUGAGUACUGGAGAGGCAGACGGAAUUCCUAGUGUAGCGGUGAAAUGCGUAGAGAUUAGGAGGAACACCAGUGGCGAAGGCGGUCUGCUGGACGGCAACUGACGCUGAGGCGCGAAAGCGUGGGGAGCAAACAGGAUUAGAUACCCCUGUAGUC